rnacentral:rRNA from 1 species
CGAGCGAGCAGAACCAGCAGAUUUACUUCGGUAAUGACGCUGGGGACGCGAGCGGCGGAUGGGUGAGUAACACGUGGGGAACCUGCCCCAUAGUCUGGGAUACCACUUGGAAACAGGUGCUAAUACCGGAUAAUAAAGCAGAUCGCAUGAUCAGCUUAUAAAAGGCGGCGUAAGCUGUCGCUAUGGGAUGGCCCCGCGGUGCAUUAGCUAGUUGGUAAGGUAACGGCUUACCAAGGCAAUGAUGCAUAGCCGAGUUGAGAGACUGAACGGCCACAUUGGGACUGAGACACGGCCCAAACUCCUACGGGAGGCAGCAGUAGGGAAUCUUCCACAAUGGACGCAAGUCUGAUGGAGCAACGCCGCGUGAGUGAAGAAGGUUUUCGGAUCGUAAAGCUCUGUUGUUGGUGAAGAAGGAUAGAGGUAGUAACUGGCCUUUAUUUGACGGUAAUCAACCAGAAAGUCACGGCUAACUACGUGCCAGCAGCCGCGGUAAUACGUAGGUGGCAAGCGUUGUCCGGAUUUAUUGGGCGUAAAGCGAGCGCAGGCGGAAGAAUAAGUCUGAUGUGAAAGCCCUCGGCUUAACCGAGGAAUUGCAUCGGAAACUGUUUUUCUUGAGUGCAGAAGAGGAGAGUGGAACUCCAUGUGUAGCGGUGGAAUGCGUAGAUAUAUGGAAGAACACCAGUGGCGAAGGCGGCUCUCUGGUCUGC